rnacentral:lncRNA from 1 species
GCGAGGCGAGCGAUGAAGUUCAUCACUCGCCGUGGCGAGGAUCAUCACUUCAUAAAAAUCAUCGCUUAACAAUAUCAUAAUCAAUAUCAUAAUCAAUAUCAUAAACAACAUCAUAACAACAUCAUAAUCAACAUCAUAUAGCAUCAUAACAACAUAACAACAUCAUAAUCAACAUCAUAUAGCAUCAUAAUAACAUCAUAUAAUCAACAUCGUAA